rnacentral:rRNA from 1 species
UACAGAGGUCUCGAGCGUUAGGCGGAAUCACUGGGCUUAAAGCGUGUGUAGGCGGGUCGUUAAGUGCCUUGUGAAAUCCCAUGGCUCAACCAUGGAACUGCUGGGCAUACUGGCGAUCUUGUGCCACCUAGGGGCGAGCGGAACAGAUGGUGGAGCGGUGAAAUGCGUAGAUAUCAUCUGGAACGCCAAUGGUGAAAACAGCUCGCUGGGAGUGUGCAGACGCUGAGACACGAAAGCCAGGGGAGCGAACGGG